GUUCGGAAUCACUGGGCUUAAAGGGCGCGUAGGCGGUUCCGUCAGUCCGGGGUGAAAGCCCCCAGCUCAACUGGGGAAGGGCCUCGGAAACUGUGGCACUGGAGGAAGGUAGGGGUCGCGGGAACUUCUGGUGGAGCGGUGAAAUGCGUAGAUAUCGUUUGGAACGCCAAUGGUGAAAACAGGUAACUGGGAGUGCGCUGACGCUGAGACACGAAAGCCAGGGGAGCGAACGGG
rnacentral:rRNA from 1 species